ensembl:lncRNA
GUCAGUUGUGAGGCGUGGAGUGUGUCAAUUGAGAGGCUUGGAGGGUGUCAGUUGUGAGGCGUGGAGUGUGCCAGUUGUGAGGCGUGGAGUGUGCCAGUUGUGAGGCGUGGAGUGUGUCAGUUGAGAGGCUUGGAGGGUGUCAGUUGAGAGGCUUGGAGGGUGUCAGUUGUGAGGCGGGGAGUGUGUCAGUUGUGAGGUGUGGAAUGUGUCAGUUGUGAGGCGUGGAGUGUGUCAGUUGUGAGGUGUGGAGUGUGCCAGUUGUGAGGCGUGGAGUGUGUCAGUUGAGAGGCUUGGACUCUGUCAGUUGAGAGGCUUGGAGGGUGUCAGUUGUGAGGCGUGGAGUGUGUCAGUUGAGAGGCUUGGACGCUGUCAGUUGAGAGGCUUGGAGGGUGUCAGUUGUGAGGCGUGGAGUGUGUCAGUUGUGAGGCGUGGAGUGUGCCAGUUGUGAGGCGUGGAGUGUGUCAGUUGAGAGGCUUGGACGCUGUCAGUUGAGAGGCUUGGAGGGUGUCAGUUGAGAGGCGUGGAGUGUGUCAGUUGUGAGGCGUGGAGUGUGUCAGUUGAGAGGCUUGGACGCUGUCAGUUGAGAGGCUUGGAGGGUGUCAGUUGAGAGGCGUGGAGUGUGUCAGUUGUGAGGCGUGGAGUGUGCCAGUUGUGAGGCGGGGAGUGUGUCAGUUGUGAGGCGGGGAGUGUGCAAGUUGUGAGGCGUGGAGUGUGUAGGUUGUGAGGCGGGGAGUGUGCCAGUUGUGAGGCGGGGAGUGUGCCAGUUGAACUUUUUGAAACACAGUGUGUGAACUGCCAAAGAUACAGUGUUUGGAAUGCUGAAUAUAGAAUAGUCAACUCACCACUAUAAGUUAACACACAGAGGAACUAGUUAUGAAAUGACAAUAUUGGUUUACUAAUAAUAUCUUGGUCUUAUAUUUUAAGGAUUUUAAGAAUGCUGAAGCAUAUCACUCUUUGUCAUGUCUAAGGAUACGUUGGAAGUACAGUAUAUUAAGGCAUUUUUUAAGUUUAAUGAUUCAUUCCGUUAAAUAGUUAUGUUUGUAUGCCUGUGGGUUGUUUUUUAAACUGCUGUGAUUGAUUCAGCUGUGCUUGAGCUUGUAAAAGUCCUUUUAAUAAAAAGAGAAUGGUUUAUGAUGAAUUGUUUCUUUAGAAAUGUUUUUUUAGCAAUGUCUGUAAUUAAGUAAUGUACCAUGAUAAACAUUUUAUUUAAAUCUGCUUUUGUUUUUACAGCCACCUGAAUCUUCAAAAUAAUUCCUCCAACUAGCACAGAAUUCCUAUGAAAUAAGAUUGUAUUUGUCACAUACAAUACAACAGGUGUAGACUAUACCAUGAAAUGCUUAUUUACGAUCCCUUUCCCAACAAUACAGAGUUAAAAAGUACAAAAAUGUGCUAAAUAAAAAAAGGAAAUAGUAACACAAUAAAAUAUUAAUAACGAGACUAUAAACAAGGACUACCGGUACCGAGUGAAUAUGCAGGGAUACGAGGUAAUUAUGCACAUGUAGGUAAGGGUAAAAGUGACAAGGCAAUCAGGAUAGAUAAUAAACAGAGUAGCAGCAAUGUAUGCAAAGAGUGAAAGUGUGUGUAUGAGUGUGUGUGCGGUGUCAGUGUGUGUGUGUGUGUGCAUGCGUGCGUGCGUUGGUGUCAGUGUAGUUGUGUGAGUGUGUAGGAACACUUUCACCAACAGAAGGGUGAAUUUAUAAUGUGUGUAGGCGAUGUGUAAAAGCCACAUGAUACAUAUAGGACUUCCUGUACAAAAGGGGAUUUUAACAGCCUUAUAUGUGCAUUUUGAUUAAAU